AAUAAGCGGAGGAAAAGAAACCAACAGGGAUUGCCUUAGUAACGGCGAGUGAAGCGGCAAAAGCUCAAAUUUGAAAUCUGACUCCUUUAGGAGCCCGAGUUGUAAUUUGGAGAGGACACUUCGGGUGCGGCCACGGUGUAAGUCCCUUGGAACAGGGCGUCAUAGAGGGUGAGAAUCCCGUCUUGCGCCGAUGGUCCGCGCCCAUGCGAAGUUCCUUCGACGAGUCGAGUUGUUUGGGAAUGCAGCUCUAAGUGGGUGGUAAAUUUCAUCUAAAGCUAAAUAUUGGCCGGAGACCGAUAGCGCACAAGUAGAGUGAUCGAAAGGUUAAAAGCACCUUGAAAAGGGAGUUAAAUAGCACGUGAAAUUGUUGAAAGGGAAGCGCUUGCAACCAGACUCGGUCUUGGGGGCUCAGCGGGCGUGCGCGCCCGUGUACUCCCCCAUGUUCCGGGCCAGCAUCAGUUCUGGCGGUUGGUUAAAGGCCCCUGGAAUGUAUCAUCCUCCGGGAUGUCUUAUAGCCAGGGGUGUAAUGCGGCCAGCCGGGACUGAGGAACGCGCUUCGGCACGGAUGCUGGCAUAAUGGUUGUAAGCGGCCCGUCUUGAAACAC
rnacentral:rRNA from 1 species